rnacentral:rRNA from 1 species
UUAAGUUAUUAAGGGCGCACGGUGGAUGCCUUGGCACUAGAAGCCGAUGAAGGACGUUACUAACGACGAUAUGCUUUGGGGAGCUGUAAGUAAGCUUUGAUCCAGAGAUUUCCGAAUGGGAAAACCCAGCAUGAGUUAUGUCAUGUUAUCGAUAUGUGAAUACAUAGCAUAUCAGAAGGCACACCCGGAGAACUGAAACAUCUUAGUACCCGGAGGAAGAGAAAGAAAAUUCGAUUCCCUUAGUAGCGGCGAGCGAAACGGGAAGAGCCCAAACCAACAAGCUUGCUUGUUGGGGUUGUAGGACACUCUAUACGGAGUUACAAAGGACGACAUUAGACGAAUCAUCUGGAAAGAUGAAUCAAAGAAGGUAAUAAUCCUGUAGUCGAAAAUGUUGUCUCUCUUGAGUGGAUCCUGAGUACGACGGAGCACGUGAAAUUCCGUCGGAAUCUGGGAGGACCAUCUCCUAAGGCUAAAUACUCUCUAGUGACCGAUAGUGAACCAGUACCGUGAGGGAAAGGUGAAAAGCACCCCGGAAGGGGAGUGAAAUAGAACCUGAAACCGUGUGCUUACAAGUAGUCAGAGCCCGUUAAUGGGUGAUGGCGUGCCUUUUGUAGAAUGAACCGGCGAGUUACGAUUUGAUGCAAGGUUAAGCAGUAAAUGUGGAGCCGUAGCGAAAGCGAGUCUGAAUAGGGCGUUUAGUAUUUGGUCGUAGACCCGAAACCAGGUGAUCUACCCUUGGUCAGGUUGAAGUUCAGGUAACACUGAAUGGAGGACCGAACCGACUUACGUUGAAAAGUGAGCGGAUGAACUGAGGGUAGCGGAGAAAUUCCAAUCGAACCUGGAGAUAGCUGGUUCUCUCCGAAAUAGCUUUAGGGCUAGCCUCAAGUGAUGAUUAUUGGAGGUAGAGCACUGUUUGGACGAGGGGCCCCUCUCGGGUUACCGAAUUCAGACAAACUCCGAAUGCCAAUUAAUUUAACUUGGGAGUCAGAACAUGGGUGAUAAGGUCCGUGUUCGAAAGGGAAACAGCCCAGACCACCAGCUAAGGUCCCAAAAUAUAUGUUAAGUGGAAAAGGAUGUGGCGUUGCCCAGACAACUAGGAUGUUGGCUUAGAAGCAGCCAUCAUUUAAAGAGUGCGUAAUAGCUCACUAGUCGAGUGACACUGCGCCGAAAAUGUACCGGGGCUAAACAUAUUACCGAAGCUGUGGAUUGUCCUUUGGACAAUGGUAGGAGAGCGUUCUAAGGGCGUUGAAGCAUGAUCGUAAGGACAUGUGGAGCGCUUAGAAGUGAGAAUGCCGGUGUGAGUAGCGAAAGACGGGUGAGAAUCCCGUCCACCGAUUGACUAAGGUUUCCAGAGGAAGGCUCGUCCGCUCUGGGUUAGUCGGGUCCUAAGCUGAGGCCGACAGGCGUAGGCGAUGGAUAACAGGUUGAUAUUCCUGUACCACCUAUAAUCGUUUUAAUCGAUGGGGGGACGCAGUAGGAUAGGCGAAGCGUGCGAUUGGAUUGCACGUCUAAGCAGUAAGGCUGAGUAUUAGGCAAAUCCGGUACUCGUUAAGGCUGAGCUGUGAUGGGGAGAAGACAUUGUGUCUUCGAGUCGUUGAUUUCACACUGCCGAGAAAAGCCUCUAGAUAGAAAAUAGGUGCCCGUACCGCAAACCGACACAGGUAGUCAAGAUGAGAAUUCUAAGGUGAGCGAGCGAACUCUCGUUAAGGAACUCGGCAAAAUGACCCCGUAACUUCGGGAGAAGGGGUGCUCUUUAGGGUUAACGCCCAGAAGAGCCGCAGUGAAUAGGCCCAAGCGACUGUUUAUCAAAAACACAGGUCUCUGCUAAACCGUAAGGUGAUGUAUAGGGGCUGACGCCUGCCCGGUGCUGGAAGGUUAAGAGGAGUGGUUAGCUUCUGCGAAGCUACGAAUCGAAGCCCCAGUAAACGGCGGCCGUAACUAUAACGGUCCUAAGGUAGCGAAAUUCCUUGUCGGGUAAGUUCCGACCCGCACGAAAGGCGUAACGAUUUGGGCACUGUCUCAACGAGAGACUCGGUGAAAUCAUAGUACCUGUGAAGAUGCAGGUUACCCGCGACAGGACGGAAAGACCCCGUGGAGCUUUACUGUAGCCUGAUAUUGAAAUUCGGCACAGCUUGUACAGGAUAGGUAGGAGCCUUUGAAACGUGAGCGCUAGCUUACGUGGAGGCGCUGGUGGGAUACUACCCUAGCUGUGUUGGCUUUCUAACCCGCACCACUUAUCGUGGUGGGAGACAGUGUCAGGCGGGCAGUUUGACUGGGGCGGUCGCCUCCUAAAAGGUAACGGAGGCGCUCAAAGGUUCCCUCAGAAUGGUUGGAAAUCAUUCAUAGAGUGUAAAGGCAUAAGGGAGCUUGACUGCGAGACCUACAAGUCGAGCAGGGUCGAAAGACGGACUUAGUGAUCCGGUGGUUCCGCAUGGAAGGGCCAUCGCUCAACGGAUAAAAGCUACCCCGGGGAUAACAGGCUUAUCUCCCCCAAGAGUUCACAUCGACGGGGAGGUUUGGCACCUCGAUGUCGGCUCAUCGCAUCCUGGGGCUGUAGUCGGUCCCAAGGGUUGGGCUGUUCGCCCAUUAAAGCGGUACGCGAGCUGGGUUCAGAACGUCGUGAGACAGUUCGGUCCCUAUCCGUCGUGGGCGUAGGAAAUUUGAGAGGAGCUGUCCUUAGUACGAGAGGACCGGGAUGGACAUACCUCUGGUGUACCAGUUGUCGUGCCAACGGCAUAGCUGGGUAGCUAUGUGUGGACGGGAUAAGUGCUGAAAGCAUCUAAGCAUGAAGCCCCCCUCAAGAUGAGAUUUCCCAACUUCGGUUAUAAGAUCCCUCAAAGAUGAUGAGGUUAAUAGGUUCGAGGUGGAAGCAUGGUGACAUGUGGAGCUGACGAAUACUAAUCGAUCGAAGACUUAAUCAA